rnacentral:rRNA from 1 species
CGGCGUAAAGUGUGGUCUAGUAUCUUUUUAGUAGGACGGAGUAGCUUCAAAACAGUUAUACGCAUUCGAAACCACAAAGCUCAAAAACGAAAGUAGUCCUAGCAUAUUUCAAACCACGAAAGCUGAAACCCAAACAGGGAUUAGAUACCCCACUAUGUUCAGCCCUAAACUUAGAUGCUCAACUACACAGAGCAUCCGCCAGGGUACUACGAGCACCUAGCUUAAAACCCAAAGGACCUGGCGGUGCUUUACAUCCACCUAGAGGAGCCUGUCCUAAAACUGAUACUCCCCGCUUAACCUUACCUUCUCUUGCCUUUCCGCCUAUAUACCGCCGUCGUCAGCUUGCCCUAUGAGGGAACCCCAGCAAGCUAAAUCAGAGACCCUGAAAACGUCAGGUCGAGGUGUAGCGAAUGAGAAGGAGAGAGAUGGGCUACAUUUUCUACUCUAGAAAACACGAAUGAUGUACUUGAAAUUCUUUUCUGAAGGUGGAUUUAGCAGUAAGUAAGAAACAGAGUGUCUUACUGAACUAGGCCCUAAAGCGCGCACAUACCGCCCGUCACCCUCCCCAUCAA